UACGUAGGGACCAAGCGUUGUUCGGAUUUACUGGGCGUAAAGGGCGCGUAGGCGGCCUGACAAGUCACUUGUGAAAUCUCCGGGCUUAACUCGGAACGGCCAAGUGAUACUGUCAAGCUAGAGUGCAGAAAGGGCAAUCGGAAUUCUUGGUGUAGCGGUGAAAUGCGUAGAUAUCAAGAGGAACACCUGAGGCGAAGGCGGGUUGCUAGGCUGACACUGACGCUGAAGCGCGAAAGCCAGGGGAGCAAACGGG
rnacentral:rRNA from 1 species